UACCUGGUUGAUUCUGCCAGUAGUCAUAUGCUUGUCUCAAAGAUUAAGCCAUGCAUGUCUAAGUAUAAGCAAUUAUACCGCGAAACUGCGAAUGGCUCAUUAUAUAAGUUAUCGUUUAUUUGAUAGCACAUUACUACAUGGAUAACUGUGGUAAUUCUAGAGCUAAUACAUGCUAAAAAUCCCGACUUCGGAAGGGAUGUAUUUAUUAGAUUAAAAGCCAACGCCCUUCGGGGCUUCCUGGUGAUUCAUAAUAACUUUUCGAAUCGCAUGGCCUUGCGCCGGCGAUGGUUCAUUCAAAUUUCUUCCCUAUCAACUUUCGAUGCGAAGGUAUUGUCUUCGCAUGGUUGCAACGGGUAACGGAGGGUUAGGGCUCGACCCCGGAGAAGGAGCCUGAGAAACGGCUACUACAUCCAAGGAAGGCAGCAGGCGCGCAAAUUACCCAAUCCCGACACGG
rnacentral:rRNA from 1 species